GACGUAGGGCGCGAGCGUUGUCCGGAUUUAUUGGGCGUAAAGAGCUCGUAGGCGGCUUGUCGCGUCGACUGUGAAAUCCCGCGGCUCAACUGCGGGUCUGCAGUCGAUACGGGCAGGCUAGAGUUCGGUAGGGGAGACUGGAAUUCCUGGUGUAGCGGUGAAAUGCGCAGAUAUCAGGAGGAACACCGGUGGCGAAGGCGGGUCUCUGGGCCGAUACUGACGCUGAGACACGAAAGCGUGGGUAGCAAACAGG
rnacentral:rRNA from 1 species